UGAGGAAUAUUGGUCAAUGGGCGCAAGCCUGACCCAGCAACGCCGCGUGAAGGAAGAAGGCUUUCGGGUUGUAAACUUCUUUUCUCAGGGACGAAGCAAGUGACGGUACCUGAGGAAUAAGCCACGGCUAACUACGAGCCAGCAGCCGCGGUAAUACGUAGGUGGCAAGCGUUAUCCGGAUUUACUGGGUGUAAAGGGCGUGUAGGCGGGGAAGCAAGUCAGAUGUGAAAACCACGGGCUCAACCUGUGGCCUGCAUUUGAAACUGUUUUCUUGAGUACUGGAGAGGCAGACGGAAUUCCUAGUGUAGCGGUGAAAUGCGUAGAUAUUAGGAGGAACACCAGUGGCGAAGGCGGUCUGCUGGACAGCAACUGACGCUGAGGCGCGAAAGCGUGGGGAGCAAACAGGAUUAGAUACCC
rnacentral:rRNA from 1 species